rnacentral:sRNA from 1 species
GUGAAGCGGCAACAGCUCAAAUUUGAAAUCUGGCCGCAAGGUCCGAGUUGUAAUUUGUAGAGGAUGCUUUUGGCGAGGUGACUUCCGAGUUCCCUGGAACGGGACGCCAUAGAGGGUGAGAGCCCCGUACGGUCGUGCCACCGAGCCUCUGUAAAGCUCCUUCGACGAGUCGAGUAGUUUGGGAAUGCUGCUCUAAAUGGGAGGUGUACGUCUUCUAAAGCUAAAUACCGGCCAGAGACCGAUAGCGCACAAGUAGAGUGAUCGAAAGAUGAAAAGCACUUUGAAAAGAGGGUUAAAAAGUACGUGAAAUUGUUGAAAGGGAAGCAUUCAUGACCAGACUUGGGCUUGGUUGAACAUCCGGCGUUCUCGCCGGUGCACUCUGCCAGCUCAGGCCAGCAUCAGUUUGCCCCGGGGGACAAAGGCGGCGGGAAUGUGGCUCCCUACGGGGAGUGUUAUAGCCCGUCGUGUAAUGCCCUGGGGUGGACUGAGGUUCGCGCUUCGGCACGG